rnacentral:rRNA from 1 species
UUCGCCCUUAGAGUUUGAUCUUGGCUCAGGACGAACGCUGGCGGCGUGCCUAACACAUGCAAGUCGAGCGAUGAAAGAGAAAUGGAAUUCUUCGGAAUGAAAUUUUUCUGGAUUAGCGGCGAACGGGUGAGUAACACGUGAGCAAUCUGCCUUUCACAAAGGGAUAGCCUCGGGAAACUGGGAUUAAUACCAUAUGAGACUACACUACCUCAUGGUAAAGUAGUUAAAGUGAUUUAGCGGUGAAAGAUGAGCUCGCGUCCCAUUAGCUAGUUGGUGAGAUAAAAGCCCACCAAGGCAACGAUGGGUAGCCGGCCUGAGAGGGUGAACGGCCACAUUGGAACUGAGACACGGUCCAAACUCCUACGGGAGGCAGCAGUGGGGAAUAUUGCACAAUGGAGGGAACUCUGAUGCAGCGACGCCGCGUGAACGAUGAGGGCUUUCGAGUCGUAAAGUUCUGUCCUAUGGGAAGAUAAUGACGGUACCAUAGGAGGAAGCCCCGGCUAACUACGUGCCAGCAGCCGCGGUAAUACGUAGGGGGCGAGCGUUGUCCGGAAUUAUUGGGCGUAAAGGGUUCGCAGGCGGUAAUGUAAGUCUGAUGUGAAAUCCUGUGGCUAAACCACAGUAAGCAUUAGAAACUGCAUAACUUGAGUCAAGGAGAGGUAAGUGGAAUUCCUAGUGUAGCGGUGAAAUGCGUAGAUAUUAGGAGGAAUACCAGUGGCGAAGGCGACUUACUGGACUUGAACUGACGCUGAGGAACGAAAGCGUGGGUAGCAAACAGGAUUAGAUACCCUGGUAGUCCACGCCGUAAACGAUGAGUGCUAGGUGUCGGGAGUCAAAUCUCCGGUGCCGUAGUUAACGCAAUAAGCACUCCGCCUGGGGAGUACGUGGGCAAGCAUGAAACUCAAAGGAAUUGACGGGGACCCGCACAAGCAGCGGAGCAUGUGGUUUAAUUCGACGCAACGCGAAGAACCUUACCAGGACUUGACAUAUGUAUGACCGAUAUAGAGAUAUAUCUUUUUCUUCGGAGACAUAUAUACAGGUGGUGCAUGGUUGUCGUCAGCUCGUGUCGUGAGAUGUUGGGUUAAGUCCCGCAACGAGCGCAACCCCUAUUACUAGUUGCCAGCAUUUAAGGUGGGGACUCUAGUGAGACUGCCGAUGAUAAAUCGGAGGAAGGUGGGGAUGACGUCAAAUCAUCAUGCCCUUUAUGUCCUGGGCUACACACGUGCUACAAUGGUCGGUACAGAGAGCAGCGAAACAGUGAUGUCAAGCGAACCUCAAAAAGCCGAUCCCAGUUCGGAUUGUAGGCUGCAACUCGCCUACAUGAAGUCGGAGUUGCUAGUAAUCGCGAAUCAGAAUGUCGCGGUGAAUGAGUUCCCGGGUCUUGCACUCACCGCCCGUCA